GAUGAACGCUGGCGGCGUGCCUAAUACAUGCAAGUCGAGCGAACAGACGAGGAGCUUGCUCCUCUGACGUUAGCGGCGGACGGGUGAGUAACACGUGGAUAACCUACCUAUAAGACUGGGAUAACUUCGGGAAACCGGAGCUAAUACCGGAUAACAUGUUGAACCGCAUGGUUCAACAGUGAAAGACGGUCUUGCUGUCACUUAUAGAUGGAUCCGCGCCGCAUUAGCUAGUUGGUAAGGUAACGGCUUACCAAGGCAACGAUGCGUAGCCGACCUGAGAGGGUGAUCGGCCACACUGGAACUGAGACACGGUCCAGACUCCUACGGGAGGCAGCAGUAGGGAAUCUUCCGCAAUGGGCGAAAGCCUGACGGAGCAACGCCGCGUGAGUGAAAAAGGUCUUCGGAUCGUAAAACUCUGUUAUUAGGGAAGAACAAAUGUGUAAGUAACUAUGCACGUCUUGACGGUACCUAAUCAGAAAGCCACGGCUAACUACGUG
rnacentral:rRNA from 1 species